GGUAUCCUAGCGCCAAGCCCGACGCAAUGAUAAAUGACGUUGUAUACGGUGCUUGCUUCGCGUAAAAUUAAGAUUGUAUCGCCUCUAUUCAGGUAACGUUAAGACUUUCAUACUGCAAGACUUGUCUUUGAGAAAAUGACAAAGUAAAGUCGCUUACUCUGCCUGUCAAUUCGCUCGAGCAACAAAUCGGGAACGAAAUGUGCAUUUGGGGUGAGUGAAUCGAUUACAGGUGUGAAUAUGUUUGGAGCUCCGGUGGAUUUAUCUUUUAAACACAUCAGCAGUUUGGCAGACACAUGGAUAGAGGAACCCAGCAGCGGUCUGCGGCCUUCAAAGACAAAUUCAGAGAUGAAGUACCUAAGUCGCUCCCUGCGUCUUAAUA